GAUGAACGCUGACAGAAUGCUUAACACAUGCAAGUCUACUUGAUUUAUGGUUUCGGCCGUAAUGAUGGUGGCGGACGGGUGAGUAACGCGUAAAGAAUCUGCCCUUUAGUCUGGGAUAACAGUUGGAAACGACUGCUAAUACCGGAUAUUAUGGAACCAUCGCAUGAUGGAAUCAUGAAAGCUAUAUGCGCUAGAGGAGGACUUUGCGUCCCAUUAGCUAGUUGGUGAGGUAACGGCUCACCAAGGCGACGAUGGGUAGCCGGCCUGAGAGGGUGAUCGGCCACAAGGGAACUGAGACACGGUCCUUACUCCUACGGGAGGCAGCAGUGGGGAAUAUUGGACAAUGGGCCACAAGCCUGAUCCAGCAAUUCUGUGUGCACGAUGAAGGUCUUCAGAUUGUAAAGUGCUUUCAGUAGGGAAGAAUAAAUGACGGUACCUACAGAAGAAGCGACGGCUAAAUAUGUGCCAGCCGCCGCCGUAACAC
rnacentral:rRNA from 1 species